UCAAGUUCUAUGAAAACCUCCUCGCCCCUCAUAUGCCAUAAGGUUUUCUCAGCUAGUGGUGACUAGAAAACCUUACUUUUGACUCAAAGUGUGCCUGUGACAGCAUAUUUUGGGGAAGGAAAUUUAAGAUGACAUCCUCAACACAAAUCUGGAUAAGGCCUUUGGAGUCGAUGGUUUUAAUUCCCGCUUCUACAUUUCCUGUUAACAUAUUAUUACGAGCGAUGUUGCUACUACGUAAGGAUUUCUUUAGCAAUGGAAAGAUGCUUGGAGAACCACAGACAAGGCGGACAUGGAAUUUUGCAGCAAACUUGAUGGCUUAAUUGGGCAAGGACUUUUCAGUAAUGCAAUAUCAAGUGGACCAAAUGCUAUGCUUAACUCUGUGCGCUAUAUGUCAUCAACAAGACUUUUCGUUGGAGGUCUCUCCUAUGGGACUGAUGAUCAGUCACUCAGGUUUUGGAAAUGUGGUUGAAGGCUAUCUCAUAAUUGAUGCAGCCAGAGUCAUUACUGAUAGAGACACUGGAAGGUCGAGAGGAUUUGGGUUCGUGAACUUUUGACAAUGGUGAAUCAGCAAGCAAUGCUAUGGCUAGCAUGGCUGGUCAGGAAUAACAAGGCUGGAAGUAUCCAUGUAAAGCUGCUCUAAUGAUAGUCCCGGUGGUGGGCCUCAAGGUGGUUUCAGUGGUGGUUAUGGCAGUGGCUAUGUCAAGGUUACGGUGGUGGAUCUGCAGAACAGAAUGACUUUGAAGGGGAUUCCAGCAUUUUUCAACGAAUAUAAGAUAUAAUGCUUGCCAUGUAAACAAAUAUCAGCAGCAAUAUCCAUGAUCAAAUUCACGUGGCAAGCAUUAUAUCUUGAUAUUCGUCAAAAAAUGCUUCAAAUUCCCCUGCUGGAAUCCACUUAUGUAGUUUAAUUUGGACCCUACAACAGUAAUUGUGGUUUUUAUGGUGCGAAAAACCACAAUCAGCAUACUUAGAAGAUGGAUAUCCUGUUGUUAGGUGUCAUUUGUCACUGGUAAAUUUCUUCAAGAGAUAAUAUUGAUGGGAAUGUAUAGUAUAGUA